rnacentral:lncRNA from 1 species
GGCGCCGCCGGGUGGCGGCGAGACGCCUCCGCGCCUCCGGGGUUCCUUGUUGGCUGUCGGAGGAGGACCGGCUGAGGGAUGGCCUGGUGGGGAGGGAGCCCUCGGGCAGUUAGCUGCGUCGGGCCUGGGGCAGUUGUGCUGCACUUGGAGACCUGCCCGCCUUCGGGGCCUGUGUGCACGGGGAGGAUAGGCUGUUUAUCUCUGCAGGCUCAGGAAGGCAGCAAGCUGCAGUGUGGUAAACUGCCUUUGAAAGAGACCCACAUGUCAAGAAACUGAGCAUCACCUGUGACCAACAGCCAGAAAGUAACUGAAGCCCCAAGACGAACAGCUUGUGCAAAACUAAAUUCUGCCUACAACAAGAGCAUGAAUCGAGACGCAGAUCCUUCCCUAGUUGAUCCUUGAAAUGCUUGCAGCUCUAUGGACACCUUGAUUGCAGCCUUGUGAGAAAUUCUGAACUAGAGGACCUCGUAUGCCUUACCCAUAGGACUUAGAAGAUAAUACGUGUUUUUCAAAAAAGUAAGUUUGGG